UUCCUUUUCUGGCUAAUUGUCUUGCUCUGGCUGUCGUUCUUUGUGGCCUUUUUCGGGGCCUUCUUCUAUAUCUGGACUUAUAUGUUCUCUCAAUGCAGUGACUGCUGCGAAGGUAUUGCUGAAUUUUUCCUGAAGUGCGUUCAGUUUCCCGGAUACUGUGCUGCAGGUAUGAUGCAGUGCAAGAAACCGUGCUAGAAUCGACGAAGAUGGCAAGAGGCGGCCACCCGCCACACAGUAUAGCACAGUGUCGACACUAUCCGUUUACCACUGUACCAUAUACAUUUUGUUGCUAUGCAGUUUCCAUGUUUUACUAUCGAUACCGCCAGAAGAUCUUCCUCUGCGUCUGAACUUCCUUCAACUGCAAAACCACCACGGACAUCAUGAACAGAUUACAUCAGGCCAACAGUUCACUUACUUUACUGUCGGUUUUUAUUUGGUUUUUGUUCUUCUCUUCAAUCCUCCUCCGUAUCGUCUAUUACUUAGAUACAGCCAGAAGAUCUUCCUCUUCGUCUAACCUUCCUUCAUUUAAGGAACCUUCUCCGACAUCGUAAACAGAUUACUUCAGAAUAAUAGUGACUAGAAGAUCAGUGGAUGAUGACAUUGAGUAAUAAUAUUUUAAUCCGCAGUUUUAUGGUAGAAUUGCUUAAAUUUUUCAACACUUAUCGGCAAUUAGCAUGAAUGACUUAUCAACACAAUCCUCAAGAUUUUAAGAGUGCUUUGUAUCCGGCGAUCAAAAUAAAUUUAAACAU